AGAGUUUGAUCCUGGCUCAGGAUGAACGCUGGCGGCGUGCUUAACACAUGCAAGUCGAGCGAAGCAGCUGUUUGGAAUCCUCCGGGAGGAAAAACAUCUGACUGAGCGGCGGACGGGUGAGUAACGCGUGGGGAACCUGCCUUAUACCGGGGGAUAACAGCUGGAAACGGCUGCUAAUACCGCAUAAGCGCACGGCACCGCAUGGUGCAGUGUGAAAAACUCCGGUGGUAUAAGAUGGACCCGCGUUAGAUUAGCUUGUUGGCGGGGUAACGGCCCACCAAGGCGACGAUCUAUAGCCGGCCUGAGAGGGCGACCGGCCACAUUGGGACUGAGACACGGCCCAAACUCCUACGGGAGGCAGCAGUGGGGAAUAUUGCACAAUGGGCGAAAGCCUGAUGCAGCAACGCCGCGUGAGCGAUGAAGGUCUUCGGAUCGUAAAGCUCUGUCCUUGGGGAAGAUAAUGACGGUACCCUUGGAGGAAGCCCCGGCUAACUACGUGCCAGCAGCCGCGGUAAUACGUAGGGGGCAAGCGUUAUCCGGAAUUAUUGGGCGUAAAGAGUGCGUAGGUGGUUACCUAAGCAGGGGGUGAAAGGCUAUGGCUUAACCAUAGUUAGCCCCCUGAACUGGGCUACUUGAGUGCAGGAGAGGAAAGCGGAAUUCCUAGUGUAGCGGUGAAAUGCGUAGAUAUUAGGAGGAACACCAGAGGCGAAGGCGGCUUUCUGGACUGUUACUGACACUGAGGCACGAAAGUGUGGGGAGCAAACAGGAUUAGAUACCCUGGUAGUCCACACCGUAAACGAUGAGCACUAGGUGUCGGGGUCGCAAGACUUCGGUGCCGCAGUUAACGCAUUAAGUGCUCCGCCUGGGGAGUACGUACGCAAGUACGAAACUCAAAGGAAUUGACGGGGACCCGCACAAGCAGCGGAGCAUGUGGUUUAAUUCGAAGCAACGCGAAGAACCUUACCAGGACUUGACAUCCCUCUGAAAGCCGUGAUAACGAUCGGCCCUCUUCGGACAGAGGUGACAGGUGGUGCAUGGUUGUCGUCAGCUCGUGUCGUGAGAUGUUGGGUUAAGUCCCGCAACGAGCGCAACCCCUAUUGUUAGUUGCUACGAAAGAGCACUCUAGCGAGACUGCCGUUGACAAAACGGAGGAAGGCGGGGACGACGUCAAAUCAUCAUGCCCCUUAUGUCCUGGGCUACACACGUAAUACAAUGGUGGCCAACAGAGGGAAGCAAAGCCGCGAGGUGGAGCAAAUCCCUAAAAGCCAUCUCAGUUCGGAUUGCAGGCUGCAACUCGCCUGCAUGAAGCUGGAAUUGCUAGUAAUCGCGGAUCAGCAUGCCGCGGUGAAUACGUUCCCGGGCCUUGCACUCACAACCGGUCA
rnacentral:rRNA from 1 species